GCGGCGUGCUUAACACAUGCAAGUCGAACGGAAAGGCCCUGCUUUUGUGGGGUGCUCGAGUGGCGAACGGGUGAGUAACACGUGAGUAACCUGCCCUUGACUUUGGGAUAACUUCAGGAAACUGGGGCUAAUACCGGAUAGGAGCUCCUGCUGCAUGGUGGGGGUUGGAAAGUUUCGGCGGUUGGGGAUGGACUCGCGGCUUAUCAGCUUGUUGGUGGGGUAGUGGCUUACCAAGGCUUUGACGGGUAGCCGGCCUGAGAGGGUGACCGGCCACAUUGGGACUGAGAUACGGCCCAGACUCCUACGGGAGGCAGCAGUGGGGAAUAUUGCACAAUGGGCGGAAGCCUGAUGCAGCAACGCCGCGUGCGGGAUGACGGCCUUCGGGUUGUAAACCGCUUUCGCCUGUGACGAAGCGUGAGUGACGGUAAUGGGUAAAGAAGCACCGGCUAACUACGUGCCAGCAGCCGCGGUGGUACGUAGGGUGCGAGCGUUGUCCGGAUUUAUUGGGCGUAAAGGGCUCGUAGGUGGUUGAUCGCGUCGGAAGUGUAAUCUUGGGGCUUAACCCUGAGCGUGCUUUCGAUACGGGUUGACUUGAGGAAGGUAGGGGAGAAUGGAAUUCCUGGUGGAGCGGUGGAAUGCGCAGAUAUCAGGAGGAACACCAGUGGCGAAGGCGGUUCUCUGGGCCUUUCCUGACGCUGAGGAGCGAAAGCGUGGGGAGCGAACAGGCUUAGAUACCCUGGUAGUCCACGCUGUAAACGGUGGGUACUAGGUGUGGGGUCCAUUCCACGGGUUCCGUGCCGUAGCUAACGCUUUAAGUACCCCGCCUGGGGAGUACGGCCGCAAGGCUAAAACUCAAAGGAAUUGACGGGGCCCCGCACAAGCGGCGGAGCAUGCGGAUUAAUUCGAUGCAACGCGUAGAACCUUACCUGGGUUUGACAUGGAUCGGGAGUGCUCAGAGAUGGGUGUGCCUCUUUUGGGGUCGGUUCACAGGUGGUGCAUGCCUGUCGUCAGCUCGUGUCGUGAGAUGUUGGGUUAAGUCCCGCAACGAGCGCAACCCUUGUUCACUGUUGCCAGCACGUUAUGGUGGGGACUCAGUGGAGACCGCCGGGGUCAACUCGGAGGAAGGUGGGGAUGACGUCAAGUCCUCAUGCCCCUUAUGUCCAGGGCUUCACGCAUGCUACAAUGGCUGGUACAGAGAGUGGCGAGCCUGUGAGGGUGAGCGAAUCUCGGAAAGCCGGUCUCAGUUCGGAUUGGGGUCUGCAACUCGACCUCAUGAAGUCGGAGUCGCUAGUAAUCGCAGAUCAGCAACGCUGCGGUGAAUACGUUCCCGGGGCUUGUACACACCGCCCGUCAAGUCAUGAAAGUUGGUAACACCCGAAGCCGGUGGCCUAACCGUUGUGGGGGAGCCGUCGAAGGUGGGACUGGUGAUUAGG
rnacentral:rRNA from 1 species